rnacentral:tRNA from 1 species
UGGAUCACCUCCUAACAGGGAGACAACAAAAUGUUUAAUAUUAUUAUUUUGUCACCUUAGGUCGAUCGGUAUCUCACGUUCUUAAUUAAUUAAGAAUUUCAAUUCCUAAGUUUUUCUAGGUCACACCCAUUAUUUUUCCUGGGCCAUUAGCUCAGGUGGUUAGAGCGCACCCCUGAUAAGGGUGAGGUCCCUGGUUCAAGUCCAGGAUGGCCCAUAUCUCUAUGUUGGGGGUAUAGCUCAGUUGGUAGAGCGCCUGCUUUGCAAGCAGGAUGUCAGCGGUUCGAGUCCGCUUACCUCCACUGAUUACCACCUCUUCCAUAAUUUGUAGAAAGGAAUUGUUUUGAGUUGUGAUCAAAUUCUGAACGAAUCUAGCUUCCUAAUGAAAGUAUUAAGAUGCUGGACUCAUUGAAUUAAUUUCAUUGUUUUCAGAGAACCUUGACAACUGCAUAGAUUAUUUUUUUUAAAGACAAUAAGCACCUUUAAUGAUGCAGAUUUAUUAUUUGUGCGAAUGCAUUAAUAACAAUUCUAUUAAGCUGAUGCUUCAAUUUUGAAGUUAUUGGUCAAGCUACAAAGGGCUCACGGAGGAUACCUAGGCACACAGAGGCGAUGAAGG